AGGCUUGCUCUGUCUGUCAACACUGACCUCAGUACANGCUGAGCUGGGCUGAUAACUGGUCCAGGGUCAGCUUCAUGGUGCUGUCUUGUCCACUCAAGGCUUGCUCUGUCUGUCAACACUGACCUCAGUACAGCCCUUAUAUAAUGCAGCAGCAGUAAAGGACUGUAUCAUCAGAAUUUAUGUGCAAGGUUAGGGGUAAGUCCAAGCUACUUGGGCUAUUUGUCCUUAACGUGGGAUAAGGAUAAGAGAUAAAAGGUCAAAGUUACUUAGGCUAAGGUUAGGGGUAAGAUUAGGAACUGACUCUAUCUUCAGAAACAAACAGCAACACCCUUGUCCUUAUCUUACUAGCACGUCUUAUCUCACUAGCAUGUCUUACCUCACCAGCAUGUCUUAUUUUACUAGCACGUCUUAUCUCACUAGCACUAGCACAUCUUCUCUUACUAGCACAUCUUAUCUCACUAGCAAGUCUUACCUCACUAGCAUGUCUUAUCUUACUACCACGUCUUAUCUCACUAGCACUAGCACAUCUUCUCUUACUAGCACAUCUUAUCUCACUAGCACGUCUUAUCUUACUAGCAUGUCUUAUCUCACUAGCAAGUCUUAUCUCACUAACACCUCUUAUCUCACUAGCAAGUCUUAUCUCACUAGCACCUCUUAUCUCACUAGCAAGUCUUAUCUCACUAGCAAGUCUUAUCUCACUAGCAAGUCUUAUCUCACUAGCACGUCUUAUCUCACUAGCACGUCUUAUUUCACUAGCACGUCUUAUCUCACUAGCACGUCUUAUCUCGCUAGCACGUCUUAUCUUGCUAGCAAGUCUUAUCUCACUAGCAAGUCUUAUCUCACUAGCGAGUCUUAUCUCACUAGCACGUCUUAUUUCACUAGCAAGUCUUAUCUCACUAGCACGUCUUAUCUCACUAGCACAUCUUAUCUCACUAGCAAGUCUUAUCUCACUAGUACGUCUUAUCUCACUAGCACUAGCACAUCUUCUCUUACUAGCAAGUCUUAUCUCACUAGCCUAUCUUAUCUCACUAGCAUGUUUUAUCUCACUAGCACUAGCACAUCUUCUCUUACUAGCAAGUCUUAUCUCACUAGCACGUCUUAUCUCACUAGCAUGUCUUAUCUCACUAGCACGUCUUAUCUCACUAGCACGUCUUAUCUCACUAGCAAGUCUUAUCUCACUAGCACUAGCACAUCUUCUCUUACUAGCAAGUCUUAUCUCACUAGCACAUCUUCUCUUACUAGCAAGUCUUAUCUCACUAGCACGUCUUAUCUCACUAGCACGUCUUAUCUCACUUGCACGUCUUAUCUCACUAGCACGUCUUAUCUCACUAGCACUAGCACAUCUUCUCUUACUAGCAUGUCUUAUCUCACUAGCACAUCUUCUCUUACUAGCAUGUCUUAUCUCACUAGCACUAGCAAAUCUUCUCUUAGUAGCACGUCUUAUCUCACUAGC
rnacentral:lncRNA from 1 species